GAUGAACGCUGGCGGCGUGCCUAAUACAUGCAAGUCGAGCGAACAGACGAGGAGCUUGCUCCUCUGACGUUAGCGGCGGACGGGUGAGUAACACGUGGAUAACCUACCUAUAAGACUGGGAUAACUUCGGGAAACCGGAUCUACUACCGGAUAAUAUAUUGAACCGCAUGGUUCAAUAGUGAAAGACGGCUUUGCUGUCACUAAUAGAUGGAUCCGCGCCGCAUUAGCUAGUUGGUAAGGUAACGGCUUACCAAGGCAACGAUGCGUAGCCGAUCUGAGAGGAUGAUCGGCCACACUGGAACUGAGACACGGUCCAGACUCCUACGGGAGGCAGCAGUAGGGAAUAUUCCGCAAUGGGCGAAAGCCUGACGGAGCAACGCCGCGUGAGUGAUGAAGGUCUUCGGAUCGUAAAACUCUGUUGUUAGGGAAGAACAGAUGUGUAAGUAACUAUGCACGUCUUGACGGUACCUAAUCAAAAAGCCACGGCUAACUACGUG
rnacentral:rRNA from 1 species